rnacentral:tRNA from 1 species
UUCCCAGUGGCGUAAUUGGUAGCGCACCGUACUUAUAAUCAGUAUUAGGUGAUGCGGUGGUUGUGGGUUCGAGCCCCACCUGGGGAA